rnacentral:piRNA from 1 species
UUUGUCAUCGUCGUCAUGUUU